rnacentral:tRNA from 1 species
AGUGACUUAAGUUAUGUUAUUGACUACUUGUUUUCAAAAUAAGAAGAAACUUUGUGUUAGUUACUG